AAUUCCGCGAAUCAUCGAGUCUUUGAACGCAAGUUGCGCCCGGGGCUCGACCCAGGGCAUUUCUGCCAGAGCGUNNCC
rnacentral:rRNA from 1 species